GACGAACGCUGGCGGCAUGCCUAAUACAUGCAAGUCGAGCGAACAGAUGAAGUGCUUGCGCUUCUGACGUUAGCGGCGAACGGGUGAGUAACACGUAAGGAAUCUACCUAUAAGCGGGGGAUAACAUUCGGAAACGGGUGCUAAUACCGCAUAAUAUCUUCUUCCGCAUGGAAGAAGAUUGAAAGACGGCCCUGCUGUCACUUAUAGAUGACCUUGCGGUGCAUUAGUUAGUUGGUGGGGUAAUGGCUUACCAAGACGAUGAUGCAUAGCCGACCUGAGAGGGUGAUCGGCCACAUUGGGACUGACACACGGCCCAAACUCCUACGGGAGGCAGCAGUAGGGAAUCUUCCGCAAUGGGCGAAAGCCUGACGGAGCAAUGCCGCGUGAGUGAAGAAGGCCUCCGGGUCGUAAAACUCUGUUAUAAGAGAAGAACAAAUUGUAGAGUAACUGCUACAGUCUUGACGGUAUCUUAUCAGAAAGCCACGGCUAACUACGUGCCAGCCGCCGCCGUAA
rnacentral:rRNA from 1 species